GACGAACGCUGGCGGCGUGCCUAAUACAUGCAAGUAGAACGCUGAAGGAGGAGCUUGCUUCUCUGGAUGAGUUGCGAACGGGUGAGUAACGCGUAGGUAACCUGCCUGGUAGCGGGGGAUAACUAUUGGAAACGAUAGCUAAUACCGCAUAAUAGUAGAUGUUGCAUGACAUUUGCUUAAAAGGUGCAAUUGCAUCACUACCAGAUGGACCUGCGUUGUAUUAGCUAGUUGGUGGGGUAACGGCUCACCAAGGCGACGAUACAUAGCCGACCUGAGAGGGGGAUCGGCCACACUGGGACGGAGACACGGCCCAGACUCCUACGGGAGGCAGCAGUAGGGAAUCUUCGGCAAUGGACGGAAGUCUGACCGAGCAACGCCGCGUGAGUGAAGAAGGUUUUCGGAUCGUAAAGCUCUGUUGUAAGAGAAGAACGAGUGUGAGAGUGGAAAGUUCACACUGUGACGGUAUCUUACCAGAAAGGGACGGCUAACUACGUU
rnacentral:rRNA from 1 species